GAGAGGAAUUUCUGGAGAAUAUCAAGGAGCUGGGAGGAGAAGCUACAGAAGGGUUGCAGCAGCUGGGGGCAAUAAUAGAUUUAAUAGAGCAGGAAGGGCAGCAGAUCAGUUAGGUCUUUUACUUCAAGGAAAUGACAUGUAGAGUCCCAUUCCGUUCUCACUAUGAUAAAUCAGGGGUCAGCCGGGCUCUGAUUGGAACCACCUAGAAACCACACCCCCGAAUAGCUUUCCAGCAGCUGAGAAUUCACGGAAGAGAAAAGAGAUGGGAUCAUGCCCAAUGCCACCAGCACAAAGGAUCCAUCUGCCUCCAGAAUGAAAGUUUCACCUUUCAGGCAUAGGAAAUGUAAUCUGUUAUGGAACACCUGGGCCAUUUAAAGACACCAUGAUGCAGAGUGGUGCCAACUGUUUUUCUUCUGAAGGAAAAGCACAAUGACCAAAGAAACGCCUACAAACGAGUUACUGUUCCUCUCACAAUACAGUAUUGGAAUAGACUGUUUGUUACUCGCAUAACAUUCUACUGAAAUACAUUUUUGGCACUCUUCCAAAUGGCAUUAAAACUGUGCAAUACAAUGAAAAUGUAAAUUUCAGUGGAGAUCUUAUAAAAAAGCUUUUAGCCUAUCUCAAUGUCUAUUCUUAAUUUAGUUAAGGAAAUAAGUUGAUGAAACAGAAUUGGCUGGAGAAGAUCUUUAUCUCCUAGAAAAAGUCACUUCCAGAAAGCACCGGCCUUUUAACAGGGAUCACAUUAUCAUAAUCAUCGGCAAAAUUGAAUGCCCCAAAUCCUAAUAAAAUGUAUAGA
rnacentral:lncRNA from 1 species